rnacentral:rRNA from 1 species
GAUGAACGCUGGCGGCGUGCCUAAUACAUGCAAGUCGAGCGAACAGACGAGAAGCUUGCUCCUCUGACGUUAGCGGCGGACGGGUGAGUAACACGUGGAUAACCUACCUAUAAGACUGGGAUAACUUCGGGAAACCGGAGCUAAUACCGGAUAAUAUAUUGAACCGCAUGGUUCAAUAGUGAAAGACGGUUUUGCUGUCACUUAUAGAUGGAUCCGCGCCGCCUUAGCUAGUUGGUAAGGUAACGGCUUACCAAGGCGACGAUGCGUAGCCGACCUGAGAGGGUGAUCGGCCACACUGGAACUGAGACACGGUCCAGACUCCUACGGGAGGCAGCAGUAGGGAAUCUUCCGCAAUGGGCGAAAGCUUGACGGAGCAACGCCGCGUGAGUGAUGAAGGUCUUCGGAUCGUAAAACUCUGUUAUUAGGGAAGAACAAAUGUGUAAGUAACUAUGCACGUCUUGACGGUACCUAAUCAGAAAGCCACGGCUAACUACGUG